CACGUAGGCACCAAGCGUUGUCCGGAUUUAUUGGGCGUAAAGAGCUCGUAGGCGGUUCAGUAAGUCGGGUGUGAAAACUCUGGGCUCAACCCAGAGACGCCACCCGAUACUGCUGUGACUUGAGUACGGUAGGGGAGUGGGGAAUUCCUGGUGUAGCGGUGAAAUGCGUAGAGAUCAGGAAGAACACCGGUGGCGAAGGCGCUCUGCUAGGCCGCAACUGACACUGAGGGACGAAAGCUAGGGGAGCGAAUGGG
rnacentral:rRNA from 1 species